CCACCCCCCCACACACACACACACACACACACACACACACACACACACACACACACACACACACACACACACACACACACACACACACACACACACACACACACACACAGGCUACAAUGAAGCGGAUCAUGAUUCAUAAUCAUACUCGUUUCGGGAAUAAUCAUUUGCGUAACUUCUCGUUUUCUUUUCUUAUUCAUUUAUUUACAUAUUUAUUCAUAGAAAACAAAACUUUUUCCACAAGGGGGGGCACUUCUCCCCAGACCCAGAACACAGAACAACGGAGGCCUGGCGGUCGGUCCCUGGCAGCCCCGUCCAGUUGGACUGUCUCCUGAACGCAGCCUCACACCAGCGGACCCGGCGUACCCAACCACGCCGGCAGGAAGUGGCUUUGUAGGCAGGUGGUGUGUGUGUGUGUGUGUGUGUGUGUGUGUGUGUGUUUUGAACUUGAGCGGUUGUGUGUGAAUACACAAACCCCUGGCUCUACACCGCCUCCCGGACCCCAAGGCAGGGGUCCGCGGGGGUCCAGACUCACUGGGACCCCGCUGGGGCCAGGACGCCGGCCAUCCCGUUCGCCUCCGCGUCCACCUCCCCCUCUCCCCCCUUCCCCUCCUGCUCCUCGCCUGCCUCCCCUCCGUCGCCCCCCUCGGCCCCCCGCUGCCCCCCCUUCGUCUCCAGGUGUCCGAGCAGCAGGCAGGUGUCGUUGGCGGGGGGUGGCUUGGCCUUGUUGCGCCGCGCGCUGCCCAUCCAGAACUCAGAGUUGCUGAUGAGGUCGCUGUCUGGCUCCGCCUCCCGCCGCCGCUGGCAGAGCUUCCAGGUCAGCAGGGCGGUGGUGACCAGCAGGCCCACGCACGCCACCGUCAGCGCGCCCGCCACCAUCAGCACCACGCGCCCCUGCGUCCGGGGGAACAUGCAGCGCUCCGUGGUGGCGGUGGUGGGCUUGGCGGUGGUGGAGGUAUGAGCGGGGAGCACCGAGCUGGGGGGCCGGGUCGGGCCGUCGGUGGCGUUGUACUCCGGUGUCGGGGAGGAGCCGGGGCCGUCUGAGGUUUGGUUCGAGGCGGAAGGGUCUCCCUGGGUCGUCAGGUCUGAGGGGGAGGGGUCCGGGGCGGAGGUGUUCAGGACGGAGCCGCCAAGGGUGGAGGAGUUCGAGGGGGAGGGGUCCGGGCUCUCACUGGAUGGGUCAGCGGCGGGGACGCCCGCCAACAGAGAGAGCAGGGUGAGGAGGAGGAGGGACGAGGAGCUCUUCAUGGUGCCGGCUGAACAGAGGGAGGAAGAGGGUUUGAGGACAGUUGGCAGUGAAGGUUCUGAUACACGCCCAAUUACAAAAAUGUCCCAGCACCAUUUCGCCGGCAGUUUACGGGCGGGAAUCGGACCUCACAAUACGAUUUUGAACCGAUUAUUUUGAUGCAAAGAAAGAUUUAUAC
ensembl:lncRNA